UAUUCUGCCCCAUGGGGAAGGAUGAGAAGCUUCGACUAAGGUUCGACUCGAGCGCCAGCGAGAGAACGUUGCCGCAGGCAACGGCCCGAAGGGCGAGGAGCGAUAGCGACGAGUUAUCCUUCCCCCACCACUG
rnacentral:sRNA from 1 species